rnacentral:ncRNA from 1 species
AGUUCCGAGGGGCGCUGCGACCUUGAAUAAGGCCAGGCUUGGAGCACAGGAGUGUAUCUGUAGCAACGGCGCUCAUUCAUU